AGUGGCGGACGGGUGAGUAACGCGUGAGAAUCUGCCUUGGGGUCGGGGACAACCACUGGAAACGGUGGCUAAUACCGGAUAAGCCGAUUGGUGAAAGAUUUAUUGCCCGAAGAGGAGCUCGCGUCUGAUUAGCUAGUUGGUGAGGUAAGAGCUCACCAAGGCAGCGAUCAGUAGCUGGUCUGAGAGGACGAUCAGCCACACUGGGACUGAGACACGGCCCAGACUCCUACGGGAGGCAGCAGUGGGGAAUUUUCCGCAAUGGGCGAAAGCCUGACGGAGCAAGACCGCGUGAGGGAGGAAGGCUCUCGGGUUGUAAACCUCUUUUCUCAGGGAAGAAGCUCUGACGGUACCUGAGGAAUCAGCCUCGGCUAACUCCGUGCCAGCAGCCGCGGUAAUACGGAGGAGGCAAGCGUUAUCCGGAAUUAUUGGGCGUAAAGCGUCCGCAGGUGGCGAUUCAAGUCUGCUGUCAAAGCACGGGGCUUAACUCCGUAAAGGCAGUGGAAACUGAAUAGCUAGAGUGCCGUAGGGGUAGAGGGAAUUCCCGGUGUAGCGGUGAAAUGCGUAGAGAUCGGGAAGAACAUCGGUGGCGAAAGCGCUCUACUGGACGGCAACUGACACUCAGGGACGAAAGCUAGGGGAGCGAAUGGGAUUAGAUACCCC
rnacentral:rRNA from 1 species